GUUCGGAGCCCAAGUCUGACGCUCACAUGCGUUGGCUUCCAGAUCUGGACUUUGUCGGGAACGUCACUUUCUUUGCAACGGUGGCCCAGUCCCGGAAAGUUUUCUGGGUGAGGCAUCCUGCGAGAAAAUUGAAAGUCAUCCUUGACGUCGCCUGAUCCUCAAUUAGUCCUCAAUCUGCAAUAAAAACUUUCUUUUAGUUA